UACCCGCCGACCGGGACGGAGGCCGGGCGUGACGGGCCCCGGUGCACGCGUGCUGAGCCUGGACUCGCUGGUUCGGAUCCAGCGCGGACGGC
rnacentral:tRNA from 1 species